rnacentral:rRNA from 1 species
UUGGUUAUGCAUGAAAGAGCGCAGGGUGGAUGCCUUGGCACUAAGAGCCGAUGAAAGACGUGAUAAGCUGCGAAAAGCUUCGGGGAGGAGCAAAUAUCCAUUGAUC